CAACCUGCCGCUUACUCGGGGAUAGCCUUACGAAAGAAAGAUUAAUACCCGAUGGUAUAAAGAGUUCGCAUGUUCUCUUUAUUAAAGAAUUUCGGUAAGCGAUGGGGAUGCGUUCCAUUAGAUUGUUGGCGGGGUAACGGCCCACCAAGUCUACGAUGGAUAGGGGCUCUGAGAGGAAGGUCCCCCACAUUGGAACUGAGACACGGUCCAAACUCCUACGGGAGGCAGCAGUGAGGAAUAUUGGUCAAUGGACGCGAGUCUGAACCAGCCAAGUAGCGUGAAGGAUGACUGCCCUAUGGGUUGUAAACUUCUUUUAUAAGGGAAUAAAGUGAGGGACGUGUCCCUUUUUGUAUGUACCUUAUGAAUAAGGAUCGGCUAACUCCGUGCCAGCAGCCGCGGUAAUACGGAGGAUCCAAGCGUUAUCCGGAUUUAUUGGGUUUAAAGGGAGCGUAGGUUGACGUAUAAGUCAGCUGUGAAAGUUUACGGCUCAACCGUGAAAUUGCAGUUGAUACUGUAUGUCUUGAGUGUACAAGAGGUGGGCGGAAUUCGUGGUGUAGCGGUGAAAUGCUUAGAUAUCACGAAGAACUCCGAUUG
rnacentral:rRNA from 1 species